rnacentral:lncRNA from 10 species
AGUCAAGAAAAAGGCAGCUCAGACAACGGGAAGGACAGAAGGGUUUGCAGAGAGUGAAAGGAGCCAACGCAGGAUAGGGCAAGCCAGAGCAAACAGCUCUGGGCUGGGGUGGAGGUGGACUCUGGCAAAUGGAGAAGAACUUGGGAUGGAACUAACUCUCUGCCCCACCAAGGGCAUGGGGAAUAGCAAAGCCAAAGGGGGGCCAUCAAUUUUAAGCAAGAUAUCUCUUGAGGAAGUACUCGCUGCCAAGGGAGUCCAUGUUUCAUCAGCCAGUGGGCAGAUUUGACUGGAUUGCCAAAAGGGCUGGCUGGCCUCCGGGCUGCCAAUCAUUCCCCAAACCCUGAUCGGGCAGUAAAAAACCCAUGUGGAAGAGGGUUAGGGAGAAACAGGAGGAACCACGAGCACACAGCCAUCUCUGAGCCACAGCAUUUAGGAAAAUGCUCUCAACUUGGCAUGAUUGCAAGGGUUAAGUGAUUUGCCCUAGGUCAUGAAGCUUCUAACUUGGACAAGUCCCAUCAUCUCCCUGGACCUCAGUUCCCCCAUCUGUAAGAGGAGGGAGUUGAACGGGAUGCUUUCUGCAGUUCUUGUCAGUGCAGACAUUCUGCAGGUCUAAUCAAGGGCUUCUGAUCUGCCAAUUUCAUCUCCCUGGAUUACUGUGGUUAUCUGAAGACAGGCCCAAGGGAACAACAGAGCCAGAGGGCUGAUCUGAGAAAGGCAGAGCCUGCUCCUCUUUGAGAGCCCCCUGGAGCCCUUGCAGAGGCAUCCCCAGGCUUAGGAGGCAUCACUAUACAGGAGAGUCCAUUCCAGUUCCAGCGGGGUCCUCACCCUACCCCUACUCCCUGGGAGUCACACCUGUGAGACACAGCCUCCACCCCACCCCAGUCCUGCAAGGCAUCCCUCUGGCUCCUGGAUGCCUCCUGGCCUCCUGCACCACCAGCCACAGCAUCACACAGAUGCUGGUCUGUUCUGCCCACAGCUCUUGGUGCAGGUCAGAUUCCUGAUCCUGGCUCCCUGCAUUUCAUUGUCAACCUAUGGCUGCACACACCACUGCAGAUGCUGAAGACACCGUCUUGGCCACAGGGAAGACUGUACUACUGAGACUACAAGACUGAGCCUGCCUUUUGAUUGGUCAAUGUUGCUUUUCCCUUGGUGGGAGAUGAACAAGAAAACAGACUGGGGACUCAAAACACACCAGGUGUUUAAUAGGUGGCUAAGUGAAUAGGCUUUCCAAAUUACAUGCCAACACAGCAGCUUGCCACAGCUUUCAGCCCACUGCUUGCACUAUGGUUUCUGGACUCAACAGAAAGGUCAAGGGAGUGCCAGCUGACUGUCACAUGGUCUGCAAGCCCCUGAUGGGAGGACCAAGUCAUCGACUCUAGCCUGCAUCUUAGCAUCUCCUGGGUUGAACUGACAAGCUGUUUCCAGCAUUCAGCCCCAGCAACUGUGAGUCCUGAAGCACUCCACUGUGCCCCUUGGCGAGCCUCUGCCUGCCCUCUUUAGCCUGACUCUGCUGUAGAUCAGAAAGGCAGGUUCAGGUCCUGGCCCUGGCACUGCCUUCCCAAGGGACUGGACUGGCUCCCUCCCCCAUGAGGAUAACUGCAGGGUGAUGGGGAGCAGAAUGCUGAGCAUCCCAUAACCGUGAUUUCACUGGCUCUCACAGUACCUCAGUAAAACCAGGAGGGAGCACGGGUCUGUAUCCAUAUUUUGCAGAUGGCAAACAGAGAGGAAAUCUGACUUGCCCAAGGUCACACAGCAGGUCAGCCAUGAAGCCAGGGAGGGUACCCAAGCUCUACGCAUCCACAGCCGUGGCAUCUGCAGGGCCACAGCCCCUUCACAGGGGCGGGGAAUCACAGCUGCUUCCAUUUAAGGCUGUUGCUCCUCAAUUUUACACAGGGGUAUGUGCUCUUCAGAAAGGAAAUACUAAGCUAAGCUUUGCCUCUCUUCACUUAAAAGACCUUCGGGAUGAAUCUCUUUCAGAGACUCAACUGCCAUCCAAGUGAAGAGAGGACGGGGGGAUAUGAAAAGAUCUUUUUCUUGGCAGUGGUAAUGAACCUGUAGUUCUCAAAGUGUAGAUGGGACGUAUCAGAAUCACCCAGGCACUUUCUCAACAUAUAUCGUCCCCCAUUCACAGAUUCUGCAAGUCAACCAACCCCACUUCAGCCCUGACUCCAUAGCAAAUCUCACAAUGGAGUAGUUUGAGUGGCUUUUUUCUUUUCCCUUAUCCCACGGGCAGGUGUUAACAGCAAAGGGGACAGGGGUGAGCAGUAGGAAGGGGAAGCCUGGACCCUGGACAAUCCACAGCAGAGGGUGCGGAGCUGACAUCCCCUGUGCCAGUUUGCCGCAGCACGAUACAAAAGGUGCACAGGACACAAGAGUAAUGGGGCAAUCCGGGCCCACACCUUCGUUCUCAUACUAAGAGGAAAACAGAAAAUACAGGGUUACAGAGUUCACAGCCAACACUCAAAACAACAGACUGGAGUAUGUGUCUAAGGAAGACAUGAAAUGGAAGGGCCACUACAGACAACUGGCGGUUGAGAAGAUAAGACUCAGCCUACAUCCUCCAGAAGCAUACUGACAGACAGAGUCUGGGGUCGUUUGAGGCUCUCCUCUGUACUGAUACUCUCCACCCCACUCCCUGAGAACAACUGGAGGGAGGGUGCCUGCCUAGGGGCUCUCGAGUGGUGAGCACAGUGCUGGGCACACACAGUAAAGCUCCAGAAAAGUGAGUUGUUUUUGCAUUGCGAGUUUUUCUGGACUGUGUCAAGUUUUACUUUAAAUAAGGCACAUCCAAACUAAGAAGUGCCCAGGUGAG